rnacentral:lncRNA from 1 species
AAAAAAAAAAAUCUUAUAAAUGAUUGAGUAGAAUAGAAAUACACGUUAUACAAUUGAUUUAAUCAAGCAAUACAUAGGUAUGCAUAAUGUAAAUAGGUAGAUUAUGCCAUUUUCAAUAAAACCCUACAAAAAUAAACUAUUUCAAAAUUUAAACUCAAGCUUAUAUUGUUUGUUUAAAGUGAGAAACAACACUUUAGCUUUGCCGAGUAAAACCUUUUUCCUGAGACUUUAGAUAAUAUUUAUCCAAGAAGGAAGUAUGAUGUCUCAAUAUAUUUUCCUUCAAUUCUCGAGAAUGGUUUACUCCAUGAGGAAAAGUUAUGGAUAUCAUAGAACAUAUACGUAGAGAUGAAAAUUGUGUAUAAUUUGAACAUGGUAUUAAAAAAGAAACGGAAAAUCAACAUGGCAAUCCUGACAAUUUGAAGAAUGGUUUGGAGGAGAACAACACUGUUAAGACACUAAUAUUGAUUAAAAUCAUGUUAUUACAUCGUUAUACAAUCUAUGGAAAUUCAAGGGAAUACUUGAAGCAAAUCCUCAGAAAACCCACAUCCUAGAAGCCAGUGGCAGUUGAGCGGUGAUUCCUUCCCUGUUCCCACACUUAUAUAUAGGACGUCAGAUGUAUAGUCUAUAGGUGCCGUUGUAUCUCAUUAUUAAUU